CUUCUACAAAAACAAGAGAAGAAGAAGAGUAAGUUAUUAUUUUUAUUUAGAACCUGUGGAUAUUCAGCCACAGUCGGAUUAUGAGUGAGAACCUUCUACAACAACAGGAACAAGAGGACAGAAGAAGAAGCUUGUAGACAUUUAGCCACAGUCCGAUUAAAAGUCAGAGCCUUCUACGGAAACAAGAGGACAGAAGAAUAAGCCUGCAGAUAUUUAGCCACAGUCUGCUUUUGAGUCAGUGCCUUCUACAAAAGCAAGAGGACGAAAGACGAAGCCUGUAGAUAUUCAGUCACAGUCUGAUUUUGAGUCAGAGCCUUCUAUGAAAACAGGAAUAAGAGGCCGAA